CUACGUGCCAGCAGCCGCGGUAAUACGUAGGGUGCGAGCGUUAAUCGGAAUUACUGGGCGUAAAGCGAGCGCAGACGGUUACUUAAGCAGGAUGUGAAAUCCCCGGGCUCAACCUGGGAACUGCGUUCUGAACUGGGUGACUAGAGUGUGUCAGAGGGAGGUAGAAUUCCACGUGUAGCAGUGAAAUGCGUAGAGAUGUGGAGGAAUACCGAUGGCGAAGGCAGCCUCCUGGGAUAACACUGACGUUCAUGCUCGAAAGCGUGGGUAGCAAACAGGAUUAGAUACCCUGGUAGUCCACGCCCUAAACGAUGUCAAUUAGCUGUUGGGCAACUUGAUUGCUUAGUAGCGUAGCUAACGCGUGAAAUUGACCGCUUGGGGAGUACGGUCGCAAGAUUAAAACUCAAAGGAAUUGACGGGGACCCGCACAAGCGGUGGAUGAUGUGGAUUAAUUCGAUGCAACGCGAAGAACCUUACCUGGUCUUGACAU
rnacentral:rRNA from 1 species